rnacentral:lncRNA from 1 species
CAAACAUCGUGGUACUCACUUUGGUAGUCUCCUCCAUAAUGUUAGGCUGUAUGGAAUAUUGGUGUCUAUCUCACCAUAUUAACGGUAAAGGACUUGGUGAUGAUCUAGUUGUACGUCCUGGUAUGUUUUUCGUGGAGAGAGAAAUGAGAGGCCGGAGUUACUCCCCCGUUCUAUCUCAGACGCACCGCCCGGGUCAACUGAUUCAAAAUAGGGUGAAAUCCCUGUUAGCAUGAACCCAUGUUCUACUCUGCCACCUUUACAUAAGAUUGAAGGGAUACUGUGGUCGUCUUUGGAGCAACCCUUCGUCUUUCCUGUAUCCAUUCAACUUGCUAAAAAUACUUGAGCUGUAGAAAAACUAUGCCGUGUCUACGCGGCGCUUUUGCCCUACAGGGUCGGUCUGGUCGUCCGACCCUCAUAAUGUCUGGG